AACGAACGCUGGCGGCAGGCCUAACACAUGCAAGUCGAACGAGGUCUUCGGAUCUAGUGGCGGACGGGUGAGUAACGCGUGGGAACGUGCCCUUCUCUACGGAAUAGUCCUGGGAAACUGGGUUUAAUACCGUAUACGCCUCCGGGUAAGGAAUUACGGGUAGGAUCGGCCCGCCGUUGGAUAGGUAGUUGGUGGGGUAAGUGGCCUACCAAGCCGACGAUCCAUAGCUGGUUUGAGAGGAUGAUCAGCCACACUGGGACUGAGACACGGCCCAGACUCCUACGGGAGGCAGCAGUGGGGAAUCUUAGACAAUGGGGGCGAACCCUGAUCUAGCCAUGCCGCGUGAGUGACGAAGGCCCUAGGGUCGUAAAGCUCUUUCGCCAGGGAUGAUAAUGACAGUACCUGGUAAAGAACCCCGGCUAACUCCGUGCCAG
rnacentral:rRNA from 1 species